rnacentral:lncRNA from 1 species
GGGCACCCAAAUUAGUCAUACUGAUUAACCUUAACGACAUAGGUCAACUCGAGUUACUUAGUGAUCUAAUCAACCUAAUAACUCGGGCUCAACCAUUAAGCCACAAUCAAGGUCUAUUUGGUUUAAUCAAAGACAUGAACUCGACCUUCUACAACUAUUGUAUUUGAUCUAGAGUAUUCUUGAUCUAAUCUAAAUCAACUAUUAGUGAGAUUUGAUCAACUAUUCUUUUAAGUCCAUUAAGUCUUUGAUUUUAAUCUUAGAUUUAAUCCAAUUAAAAGGACAUGAUUUGAACUAACCCAUGCUCCAUAUUUUAUGUAAUGUCAUUAGAUC